UUUCAUGAUGAGAAAAUUUAUUAACACAGACCUGUACUGAACUUUUCAAGUCAUGCAGAUAACAAUAUUAUUGCCUUUUUAUUUCUGAUU
rnacentral:snoRNA from 1 species